rnacentral:tRNA from 1 species
GGAGUGUUGAAAUGGUAUCCUGCCGGUCUCCAAAACCGUGCGGUUCAGGUUCGAGUCCUGACUCCUUCGCCA